rnacentral:rRNA from 1 species
UACGUAGGGUGCGAGCGUUAAUCGGAAUUACUGGGCGUAAAGGGUGCGUAGGCGGAUAUAUAAGUUAGAUGUGAAAUCCCCGAGCUUAACUUGGGAAUGGCAUUUAAGACUGUGUGUCUAGAGUCUGUAAGAGGGGGGUAGAAUUCCGAGUGUAGCAGUGAAAUGCGUAGAGAUUCGGAGGAACACCGGUGGCGAAGGCGGCCCCCUGGUAUAAGACUGACGCUGAGGCACGAAAGCGUGGGUAGCAAACAGG